rnacentral:rRNA from 1 species
UACGUAGGUGGCAAGCGUUGUCCGGAUUUACUGGGCGUAAAGAGCGCGCAGGCGGCUGAUUAAGUCUGAUGUGAAAUCUCCCGGCUCAACCGGGAAACUGCAUCGGAAACUGAUCGGCUUGAAGGUGGGAGAGGGUAGUGGAAUUCCCGGUGUAGUGGUGAAAUGCGUAGAUAUCGGGAGGAACACCAGUGGCGAAGGCGACUACCUGGCCCAUUCUUGACGCUGAGGCGCGAAAGCUAGGGGAGCGAACGGG